GACGAACGCUGGCGGCGUGCUUAACACAUGCAAGUCGAACGGAAAGGCCCUGCUUUUGUGGGGUGCUCGAGUGGCGAACGGGUGAGUAACACGUGAGUAACCUGCCCUUGACUUUGGGAUAACUUCAGGAAACUGGGGCUAAUACCGGAUAGGAGCUCCUGCUGCAUGGUGGGGGUUGGAAGGUUUCGGCGGUUGGGGAUGGACUCGCGGCUUAUCAGCUUGUUGGUGGGGUAGUGGCUUACCAAGGCUUUGACGGGUAGCCGGCCUGAGAGGGUGACCGGCCACACUGGGACUGAGAUACGGCCCAGACUCCUCUGGGAGGCAGCAGUGGGGAAUAUUGUACAAUGGGAGGAAGCCUGAUGCAGCAACGCCGCGUGGGGGAUGACGGCAUUCGGGUUGUAAACCGCUUUCGCCUGUGACGAAGCGUGAGUGACGGUAAUGGGUAAAGAAGCACCGGCUAACUACGUG
rnacentral:rRNA from 1 species